GACGAAGGUGGCGAGCGUUGUUCGGAAUCACUGGGCAUAAAGCGCACGUAGGCGGUGACGUAAGUCGGGUGUGAAAUCCCUCGGCCUAACCGAGGAACUGCGCCCGAUACUGCGUUGCUUGAGGACCAGAGGGGUGCAUGGAAUUUCCGGUGGAGCGGCGAAAUGCGUUGAUAUCGGAAGGAACUCCGGCGGCGAAAGCGAUGCACUGGCUGGUUUCUGACGCUGAGGUGCGAAAGCCAGGGGAGCAAACGGG
rnacentral:rRNA from 1 species